AUGUCUGUUUGAAGAUGUAAACAGUCUAGCCUGCCCACUGAUAGUUGUUAAAGGGCCGCGGUAUUCUGACCGUGCAAAGGUAGCAUAAUCGUUUGUUUCUUAAUUGGGAUCUUGUAUGAAUGGUUGGACAAAAGAAAGACUGUCUCUAUAGUUUAUAUUGAAUUUAACUUUUAAGUGAAAAGGCUUAAAUGUAUUGAAGGGACGAUAAGACCCUAUAAAGCUUGAUAUUUUAUAAUAGUAGAUUUAAUUUUAUAAUUAUAAAAAUUUACUGUUAAAAGUUUAUUUUAUUGGGGCGAUAAAAGUAAAAUGCUUAAUAACUGCUUUAGACCCACGACAAAUGUAGUUGAUUAAUACUGACAUAUUAAUGGAUCCUAGAUAAAGAUUAAAAGAUUAAGUUACUUUAGGGAUAACAGCGUUAUUUUUUUUGAGAGUUCUUAUCGAAAAAAAAGUUUGCGACCUCGAUGUUGAAUUAAAAUUUCUUUAUA
rnacentral:rRNA from 1 species